rnacentral:rRNA from 1 species
UACGGAGGAUGCGAGCGUUAUCCGGAUUUAUUGGGUUUAAAGGGUGCGUAGGCGGGCUUUUAAGUCAGCGGUAAAGAUUCGGGGCUCAACCCCGUCCGGCCGUUGAAACUGGGGGUCUUGAGUGGGCGAGAAGAAGGCGGAAUGCGUGGUGUAGCGGUGAAAUGCAUAGAUAUCACGCAGAACCCCGAUUGCGAAGGCAGCCUUCCGGCGCCCUACUGACGCUGAGGCACGAAAGUGCGGGGAUCGAACAGG